AGUUACUUCAGUGGUAAUAAAAUCUUUAACACCUUUGGCAUCUAGAAGAUUGCCUAAUCUAAAUUUCCAUGACGAAAAGUUCGUAGAUGUUAAUUGCGGAUACAAACUCACGGUUGAAUUCGCGCCAUUUAAACCUUGGACUGCCAUUUUUUUGCGGUCACUCACAACACUGCCGGUCGGUAUAAACAGCAACACUAAAAAAACUUUACUUCUUAUUGAAUGUACUCUUGGCAUGUAAAACUGGAGUCCAUAACCUUUUGGAGAAGGAAGCUUGCCGAGUACUUAUUAAUUAGGUAUAUUUACUGGGAGACAUAAUUCAUAUGCAACGCUUCGUGACGACCAUUUUAUUAGACUACUUCAACUGUCAAUAUUGCCAACCUGAUUUACAUAUACUUGGGGAUCAGGAUAGCUAACAUUUCAAUAAUGUUAUAUAAAAGUUUAA
rnacentral:lncRNA from 1 species